GUGUUUGAUAUACCAGUGUCACAUCUAAGGGAUGAUGGUGUCCAAGAUAUCAGCUGUUCUGACAUUGAAUGUCCUCGUGGCCUUUAUAAUACUAGAUUGUGACGGUGUCAUCGGUCCAUUUCCACGUCCAUUCCCGCCGAAGGGCAAACGACGGUUUCAAGUGGAUGGGAGGUUAGCAUUAGUGAUUCAGAACGAGCAGAAUUUCGAUAGGAUACCUAGACGAGCCGUGUUCACGCAAGAGCUAAAAAGGUGUGCGAAACGUCAGAGAGAAAAGCUGAUAGGCGCCAAUGAAAUCUAAAAGAAGUGAUCGAGGACAGCAAAACAAUGAACUAAACAGAAGUCUACAGAAAAAUUAAAUCUUGUGACACAAAGUUUUCUGAAGAAGUAAAAUGAUUCAAAUCUU